rnacentral:rRNA from 1 species
UACGUAGGGACCAAGCGUUGUUCGGAUUUACUGGGCGUAAAGGGCGCGUAGGCGGUUUGUCAAGUCAGUUGUGAAAUCUCCGAGCUUAACUCGGAACGGUCAACUGAUACUGUCAAACUAGAGUACAGAAGGGGCAAUCGGAAUUCUUGGUGUAGCGGUGAAAUGCGUAGAUAUCAUAAGGAACACCGGUGGCGAAGGCGGUUACCUGGAAGAUUCCUGACUCUGAAACACGAAAGCCAGGGGAGCAAACGGG